CUUCCAGAAGGCGAGGUACAUGUACCUUGCCAACUGGAAGGGCUUCCUUCCAGCAGGCAAGGUACAUGUACCUUGCCGGCUGGAAG
rnacentral:miRNA from 1 species